CUAGGUUUCAGGACCCUCCAAAUGGAGAAAAUAAUCCAUCUUCCCUGUGGGUACGAUAUAUUGUGUUACAUGGACUGAUGCAGUUUGUCUGAAGAGAGGACCAUACCUACAUGUUUUGAAAAAGCUCUGCAGGUGGUUUUGGCACCUAGUCCUAAUUAAGAACUACCACCUAAGAAAAUGAACUGAACACAGCUGAUUUAAGUUAGUUCCUGUGACCAGAAACUGAGAAAGUUUCUCAAUAGUGCAGCAAAUGGAACCGUGGAACCACUGAAGAGGAGCAGCAGAAACUUCACAGCUCUUGGGUGGCAGCAGACUCAGAUUUACUGAAGCAAGAAAGGGAAGACAGCAGCAGGAGGCUUGACAGCUAGCUAAAUAGUUAGCCAUGGAAAGAGCAGAAGAAGGAAGCUCAAGAAAUCUCAGCAACAAACACUCAUGGACUUUUUUCUAAAAAUGGAAAUUUAAAACUUUCUCGACCAUGACCCACAAGAAAUACAUUUUACACGUUGCAUCCAGGACAUAGCAAUAUGCCUGUGAGCCACUUUGUGGUUGAAGGUUUCCAUGUUGAGCUAGUUUCAGGAACAUUGCCUCCUGUGUUCUCCUUUUGGAGAUUCACCCAUGGAUUUACUGUAUCAAAGUCUCUGAGAAAUCUUAUUCUAGCAAUCCUGUUUCAUGCACUAUUUCUUAAAUGUAUUUGGUAGCAGUUAACUUGUUAUUGCAAAAACAAAAAUUAUUGACUCCCUAUUUUGUGCUAAAUACUGGGCUCUGCACUGGUGAAACAGAAGAAAGCCAUACACAGCCUGCCCUCACAACGCCUCCAGUCUCAGAGAAUACUUAGUAAUCCCUCAUGAUCUACACCUUGGAAAACACUGAUUUAGUUUACUCCAAUCCCCACUCCUGCAUGCAGAAUCUGGCCACUCUAGGCUUCGGUCUAGUUCAGCAUAUACUGCCUCUAGGCACAGAUGACUGUGGACAGUUGAACAGGGUAUGGGGGGAAGCAUCAUUGACACGAUUGUCUAUGUAAAUGGCUCCUUUAGGGUUGUGCAGUGCCCAACACGCGCCAUUGUCCUCAGUGUCUCUGCUUAGGGCUGAUUUCUGGGUUAUGCAUUACUACUCAAGGCACAGACCCCACGUAACCCCACCUUGGUGGCAAGGUUUCCAUCCUGAGUCACUCUUUCUUGUUCCAACUUUUUCCUUUGAAUAUGUUCAGACCUACAGAGAAGUUUAAAAAUAAUAUAAUGGGCUGAGGUAGGCGGAUCAUGAGGUCAGGAGAUCGAGACCAGCCUGGCUAACAUGGUGAAACCUCACCUCUACUAAAAAUACAAAAAAUUAGCCAGGCGUGGUGGCCCGUGCCUGUAGUCCUAGCUACUCAGGAGGCUGAAGCAGGAGAAUCGCUUGAACCCGGGAGGCGGAGGUUGCAGUGAGCUGAGAUCGCACCACUGCACUCCAGCCGGGGUGACAGAGUGAGACUCUGUUCAAAAUAAUAAUAAGAAGAAUAAUAAAAUGAACAUUGCAUCUUAGAUUCACCAAUUGUUAACAUUUUGCCACAUAUGCAUUUGACAUUUGUGUGCAUACACACAUAUGUGUGCACAGAGACAAAAUAUA
rnacentral:lncRNA from 1 species